rnacentral:rRNA from 1 species
UACGAAGGGGGCGAGCGUUGUUCGGAUUUACUGGGCGUAAAGGGCGCGUAGGCGGCCUUCUAAGUCAGACGUGAAAUCCCCAGGCUUAACUUGGGAACUGCGUCUGAUACUGGAAGGCUUGAGUGCGGGAGAGGGAUGUGGAAUUCCAGGUGUAGCGGUGAAAUGCGUAGAUAUCUGGAGGAACACCGGUGGCGAAGGCGGCAUCCUGGACCGACACUGACGCUGAGGCGCGAAAGCUAGGGGAGCAAACGGG